rnacentral:rRNA from 1 species
CAGCCGCCACGGUAAAACGGAGGGGGCUAGCGUUGUUCGGAAUUACUGGGCGUAAAGCGCACGUAGGCGGCUUUGUAAGUUAGAGGUGAAAGCCCGGAGCUCAACUCCGGAAUUGCCUUUAAGACUGCAGAGCUAGCAGGUGAGAGAGGUGAGUGGAAUUCCGAGUGUAGAGGUGAAAUUCGUAGAUAUUCGGAAGAACACCAGUGGCGAAGGCGGCUCACUGGCUCAUACUGGACGCUGAGGUGCGAAAGCGUGGGGAGCAAACAGGAUUAGAUACCCCCGUAGUCCCUGUCUCUUAUAC